rnacentral:rRNA from 1 species
GUGUCAGCAGCCGCGGUAAUACGGAGGAUGCAAGCGUUAUCCGGAUUCAUUGGGUUUAAAGGGUGCGUAGGCGGAAUAAUAAGUCAGUGGUGAAAGCCUGCGGCUUAACCGUAGAAAUGCCAUUGAUACUGUUAUUCUUGAGUAUAGUUGAGGUGGGCGGAAUGUGUAAUGUAGCGGUGAAAUGCUUAGAUAUUACACAGAACACCAAUUGCGAAGGCAGCUCACUAAGCUGUUACUGACGCUGAGGCACGAAAGCGUGGGGAGCAAACAGGAUUAGAUACCCUGGUAGUCCACGCCGUAAACGAUGAUCACUCGUUGUUGGCGAUACACCGUCAGCGACUGAGCGAAAGCAAUAAGUGAUCCACCUGGGGAGUACGGCGGCAACGCUGAA